CUUGAACUACAUAUUCUACAUUGUAUGCACGUACAAUAACGUAGUGUUCAAUUUUAGAAAUACGUGGAACAUAUGGGUUCUUUCACUUUGUUUUGCGUACGACAUAGUUGCAGAUCAGUUGAAGGGAAGAAACUAAAGCUUAAUCCAUCAAAUUUUGUUGUAAUUUUGUAAUUAAUAACGUGAGAUGUUCGAGGUGGGAGUACUACCACGUUGCGACGCUGGCGACUGGCGGACUUCUGGCCGGCAAGCUCUACCGAUCCGCGUCUAUUUUCUACCGCGGCACUCGAAUGUGUGGUGCACAUUGCCGUUGCUUCUGCAAAUAAU